UAAUUCAAGUACUUUACUAUAGUAUGGUACUAUACUAUAGUAAUUACUAUAAAUUAUUUCUAUGAAGUAUUUUUUCAUGUGGGUUAUCUGAAGUUUUGACAUUCAGACAUUGUUGAAGAGUGACUUAAAUGUCCGAAUAGGUUUUGGUGCCAUUGUAAUACCAUGAUAAGAGUAUCUUAUUGAUACAUUGCAUUGUAUUGCAACAGAAGGGUCACUGUCCGCGGUUAAAUGAGUCAUACCUGACCAAAGAUAAAAGUAACCAGUCAGUUUGAUCUGUUUGUUUAUAUUGUUCUAACUCCAUCUGUCCACCCUUUAUGUAAUCCUGUUUUCUUUCUCCAUUUGGGGCGAGUUAAGAGGUGAGUGCUAUAGCUUCUGACAUUAGAGAGAGUGUGUGUGUGUGUGUGUGUGUGUGUGUGUGUGUGUGUGUGUGUGUGUGUGUGUGUGUGUGUGCGUGCGCGUUUAAAAGGGAGAGUGAGUCAGUGAGAUUUCAUCCCGUUAUUGUGGCUUGUGCUCUGACUCACUUCCAGAACGUUAAAUUAUCCACCAGCAACAGCUUCCUAAACCACAAAACAUACACACACUCGCUCCAAACAGCCCUGAACUUGAACUUUCCUCCAGUUAUCCCCUUCCUUAUCAUGUAUGUUUUGUGUGUUUUACACUAAACCAAAAACACCUGCAUUACUUCCCUUGGGAUUUCCCUCCCUAACGCUCAAGUAAAUUCAUGCGUCUGUGACCUUGCCGGUCUUGUGUGUGUGUUUAGGUCUGUCCAUGAGAGUAUCAACCUAUGACACAUUCACACAGACCUAUGAUGUCCUUUGUAAUUCUAAGCAAUGGCAUUCAUUAACGUUGACUUCAUAGUCUGAUUCAAGAAUUUGUUCACUGAAGAAUGACAUUUUUGUCAUUUACUCACCCUCGGGUCAUUACAAACCCAUAUGACUUGCUUUCUUCAGUGGAAAACAAAAGGAGAUGUUUUUACCAAUGUUCAUGCUGCUCUUUUCCAUUCAAUAUAUAGUGAUUACAGGGCUGUCAAGGAUGAAAAAAUUAAAAUUGUCUGAGGAGCUUAGUGUGUCGAAUAGACGGUCAUUAUUCACACACGAAAAUUAGAAUUAUAUGUAUCUUAUCUUAUGCAGUGCAGUUAUUGUUAACUAAAACUACAAGGAUUUAAAAAAAUGCAAUUAAAAUAAAUAAAUAUAAAUAUUAGAUGCAAAACAAACUUAAAAUGUCUUGCUUUGUAAUUGCUUUGGCAACUAACUCAACUAAGUUUAAGUUGAAGUAAUAAAAUUACUAGGUUACACUUUAUUUUAAAGUGUGUGUGUUACAGUGUGAUUAUACACUUAAGUACUGAGUAAUAAUAAUUAACUACAUAUACUUAUUAUAGGGUUAGAGUAGGAUUAGGGUUUGGUUUAGAGUUAAUUGCAUGUAAUUAUGCAUAAUUUAUAGUUAUUACUAUAGUAACCUAUACAUGUAACAUGUAACAAGGACACUGUAAAAUAAAGUGUUACCAAUUGCUAAAACUGAAAAAAAAAAAACAAAAAAAAAAAAAACAGUAAUAUUGUAAAAUAUUUUUACAAUUUAAAAUAACUUUCUAUUUGAAUAUAUUUUAAAAUGCAAUUUAUUCCUCUGAUGCAAAGCUGAAUUUUCAGCAUCAUUACUCCAGUCUUCGGUGUCACAUGAUCUUCAGAAAUCAUUCUAAUAUGCUGAUUUGCUGCUCAAUAAAUUUCUUUUUAUUAUCAGUGUUGAAAACAGUAGUGUACAAUAUUUUUUUCAGGAUUAUUCGAUGAAUAGAAAGUUCAAAAGAACAGCAUUUAUCUGAAAUAGAAAGCUUUUGCAACAUUAUAAAUGUCUAAACUGUCACUUUUGAUCGAUUUAAUGCAUCCUUGCUGAAUAAAAGUAUUAAUUUCUUUCCAAAAAACAAAAAAAAAACUCUUACUGACCCCAAACUUUUGAACGGUAGUGAUAAUGUUACAAAAGCUUUCUAUUUUAUAUAAAUGCUGUUCUUUUGAACUUUCUAUUCAUCAAAUAAUCCUGAAAAAAAAAAAAAAGUACAGUACUGUUUUUUUUUAACAAAAUUUACUAUUAUUUUAAAUUGUAAAACAUAUUUCACUAUAUUACUGUUUUUGCUGUAUUUUGGAUCAAAUAAAUGAAGCCUUGGUGAGCAGAAGAGACUUCUUUUAAAAACAUGAAAAAUUCUUACCGUUCAAAACUUUUGACCAGUAGUGUAAAUAUUUAACAAAAACUACUAAAAAUGACAAAAGCACAUAAUAAAAAAUAAAUGAAAUAAAAACAAUACUAGUUCAUAUAAAUAAUACUAAAAUAACACUGGACUUAUGAUACUUUUUAUGGUGCUGCUUAUUUUAGUAGCCAUUCACUUUCAUUAUAUGUAAAACAGCAGCUUGAACAUUCUUCAAACCAUCUCCUUUUGUGUUCCACGGAAGAUAUAGAAACUCAAACGGGUUUGGACUGACAUGAGGUUAAGUAAAUGAUGCCAGAAAUUUCAAUUUUGGCUUAACUCUCCCUUUAAGUUGUGCCAGAGCUGAAGUAGAGCGCUCAAUGUGCGCUUUCUUUUUCUCUCUCCCACUAUUUCUCUCUUUCUCCUCCCUCCUUCUCAUUAUGAAUAAACUUGUGUCUGGUCGUGUCUUCUGUAGUUGUGCCAGCAUCUGUGAUUGGUCAUGGCCGGGAUCUCUGACGCACCGCGUGAUGCUGCCCUCAUCUGCUCCUGAUCGCUGCAUCACGUCGGCGUCUGUCUCAUUAUUGGCUUUAAAGAUGCUGCUGCACAAAACUCUUUCUCAUAACUGAUGAGGAGACGAAACAACGAUGUUGUUAGUGAGACAGGCACACUUAAUUUAUGCAUUAAUGUUAAUAAUUUUAGAAAAUACAAUUCUGAUAGUUUUGAUAACAUGAGCAGAUAACUGCAUAUAGCAAAUAAUAAUCCCUUAAGUAAUGAUAAACAGUUGUGCUGCUUAAUUUUUUUUUUUUUUUUUUUGUGAAAACUGAUACUUCUUUGAUGAAUAGAAAGUUCAAAAGAACAGCAUUUAUUUGAAAUACAAAUCUUUUGUAACAUUAUUAAUGCCUUCACUGACACUUUUGAUCAAUUUAAUGUGUUCUUUCUGAAUAAAAGUAUUAAUUUUUUUCCAUAAGAAGUCUAAUGCUCCCAAAUGUUUGAAUGCUUCUGUAUGUAAGCAACAAGCAUGUCAUGCACACUUGAUUUUAGAAAGCUGUUGAGUGUUUGACGUUACUUGAGUCACUGUAGUGCUACUUUCUGGCCUUGUUUUUGUGAACAUGUUUGUGUGUUUGUACUUGUGAGUGUGAGGGCAUCAUGAGGCGUCCGAAUCUAAUUUGGGGGUGACUUCUCUAACACUUGGUUAUGUCGCUAGGGAAAUACAUCAUCAGUGGUGUCUCCAAAGGGGGUGGUUGGUCAAACCAGUCCACCAAGCCUAUGUUGACAAUUAAGCACAUAUGCAACAUAUUUCACCAUUUCAUUUCCCUUGUAAAAGAAAUGCAUUUUGUAGCUUUAAUCUCCCCAGGAUAUCCCAAAGUGUUGAAUGGUUUCGCCCAAACUAAAUUGUCUUAAUUAUCACAAUUUAAUAUUAAAAUAUAUUAGCUUUUCAUAGAGCAUUUAAUGCAUAUAGGUGGUAUAAAUGUAUAUACACAGGAAUAACAAUCGCAGAAAACAGAAUAUUUCUUUACCGUUAAUGCUAUAAAGUUUUUUCAGAUAACCUAAAUAUUGUGCUUUAUGUCAGAACAUCUAAAUUAAGUCCAAAAUUUAAUUUAAUGAACUAUAUCAGCCUAACAAAUUACAUUAAUGGAAGUAAUUUUUGUGGUUUAGAUCAACUUUUUAUGGUGCAGUAGUAGUAGCCUUUCACUUUCAUUGUAUGUAAAACAGAAGCUUGAGCAUUCCUUUCCAAUCUCCUUUUGUGUUCCACGCAAGAUAGAAACUCAUACGGGUUUGGACUGACAUGAGGUUGAGUAAAUGAUGCCAGAAAUUUCAAUUUUGGCAUAACUAUCGCUUUUAAUUGCGCCAGAGCUGAAGUACAUGAAGUCACGUGAAACCCCGCGUAUGUCCAAAGGUAAUGGAAAUGGAGAAGGCAAGUCUACCUCUUCAGGUGGGAGAGAUAGGCAUGCCUGUUUUUACUGCCUUGACCCAGAUCACCUGCUUGCAGAGUGCUGGGCUUGGGAAAAGAAAAAUGUUGAUGGUAACUCUAAGAAUGUUGCUCUCAUAUGAACGAUGUCUGUGACUAAGAAAAAGUCCAUGCAACCUUUCUCUUUGUCUGAUACUGAGCAUCAACCUGUUGUGAUCUUGCGAGAUACUGGCUCAGAACAGUCCUUAAUCCUGAAAGAGUUACUUCCCUUCUCGCGGAGUUCCUACACCGGCUCUGAUGUAUUAAUACGUGGUAUAGAGAUUGGAUGCGAUCGUGUUCCUCUCCAUCGGGCACACUUGAAGUCAGACCUUGUGACUGGUAUAGUCAACCUUGCUGUGUGUUCCCAGUUACCAUUUGAAGGAGUAGGUCUUAUACUGGGGAAUGAUCUAGCAAGUGACCAUUUUUUUCCCUAGACCUAUUGUGGUGAACAACGGUAAUUUUGGUGAUGCCUCCUCUGCAUCUCCGGAGUGUGAAGUGGUGCAACUGCCAGUGAAAAAGUUCAGAAACGUUGACCUCACUUUGGCAAACCCCCUCUGAACCUCCCAGAUGAUUAAGCCUGCAAUUUGUGACGAAACUGAUGUGAAUAUAAACCCACUCAAACUUUGCAUUGGUAAAGCUCCUUUAAGUGGAGUGCAGAGAACAGACUCGUCCCAUCCUCCAUGUUCUGAUGCGGUGGCAAGUUAUGAGCAACUGCCUGAUGGAGGAAAUGCUUGCUUGAGUAAUAACGGUGUGACAACAGAGAAAUAAGAAAGACAGUCAGAGGGAUUUAGAACGACAUGACGGUAUCAGAGCGGCACAGUCAUUCUCCAGGGAACUCAAAGCGCCUGAUGUGUUGCUAAGAGAAAUGACAUCCGAAAGGGGGACAGACAAACAUUUGUCCAGCUGAGCUGCGGUAACAGGAUUUUGUUUGGACAGGAGCUUCUCUCUGCAGGGAAGAAGGUGUAGGAACAAGCUGAAGAAAUUGAGAAAUACAUGCCAGCGGUGAUCCUGCAAAUGUCUGUUUCCCACAGGAAUGAAGCUUAUACAGGCAAAACAAAGAAAAGCCCCCUCGGAUGGAGAGGAAGAGAGAGAGGGAUGGAAUGAGAAAGAGAGCGAGUGAAAGAGAGUGAGUCAUGAGUGCAGCUUUGAACAACAAGGGGAAAUCCUCCUAUUGAGAGGCAUGCGCUGUGGAAACACUCAUCACUCAUAGAGCCAGGUAGGUCACCCUAGCAGCACCUUGGCAACCACCCAGAGUAACCACACAGAACAACUUAAGCAACAGCCUGGCAUCAUGACUAUUUCACAGAGCUUUUCUCAGGCUUCCAUCUUCAGACUUGUUGGCUAGUCACAGACCACACAUGCUGGAGAAAGCUGAAAUUACAGCAAAACAAGGGCAGAGCUUCUUGUGUAAGCAGUUUUUCCUUGAGCUCCUGACAGUGACAGCUCCACUUUCACAAUGGAGAACCUCUGAAAUGCUGAAAAAGCUACUGCUUUUGUGUCCUGCAUAGGAAAUAAAGUCAUAUUAUAGCACGGACAUUCUUGAGAUGACAGACAUGCACACCUACAGGAGCUCAGGGGUGAAGCCCCCCACGGCGAAGGAAACGGCCCAAGGAAAGGCCUCAUGCUGAAGAGAGAGGGGCCCGGCCGCUCCUUCAACAAUGGAAGUUCCUGGAAGAAUCAUGGAAGUAGGAAGGCAGUGAAACAUCCCAGCGCAAACAUGGUUCCCGUCUCUUGUCACCUUCCUGCGAGGGAACAUAUGGCCAGAGACACUUUAGUGUGAUGAAAGCAAACACAACAGUCUCAAUCCGCAUCGGACCAACAGGCUGAAGCCCAAACGCUGUUAAAAACACUUUCACACAAGGCAGAAAAUACAGGAUCAGACCUGAGGUGAUUCUCUGUGUUCUUGGAGGGUUCUGGUUUAAAGAGGAGCUUUUGAAACUCUCUGCAAUCCUUGUCAGGAUGUUUUCUUCUUCCCUGCUGAACAGCCCCGGGACACAAGCUUAACAUGCACUGACGUGUGUGUGUGUGUGUGUGUGUGUGUGUGUGUGUGUGUGUGUGUGUGUGUGUGUGUGUGUGUGUGUGUGUGUGUGUGUGUGUGUGUGUGUGUGUGUGUGUGUGUGUGUGUGUGUGUGUGUGUGUGUGUGUGUGUUCGUUCAGCCCUUCUACAGAUGUUGCAACUUUUGAUCGUAACAUUUACAACGUUCAGUGUGCAGAAUGCAAUGGUUGACAAUAAGGAUACAUUUAAAAACACAUUUGCUCAUUGAAAUAGUUUUCAUAUGAGAUCUGCACAGUUUCAGCCACAGUCCCUUAAGAAAUAAAGUUAAUGAUUGAAACAUGAAACUAACUGGAAGCACUUUCAAAACGGAAGAUUUCUCAGGUCUUCUCUUUUUCGUAAGGGUCUCACUUUAACCAGCUUGGUCCCUUUAGCACCUCUCCGUCUACAACUUCAGAAUGUUUCAGGGGCCAGUUGUCUAGAAUAGAUGACAGCACAUUUACAUGUUUAAAGGCUGAAUGCAGACUCCAGAUUGUUAGGAGACAAUCCUUGCUUUCAUUCUUUCCAGAGCAUCCAUGACCCAACAGGUUUAAGCACAAAAGAUGAAAGGAGACUAAGUGAUGGAGGUCUAAAACCCGUUCUGACACUUGUUGCAAAACCGUCAGGUCUUGCUUAGUGUUCUAAGGAAAGCGAUAAAGGUCACUUUAAGUCCAUUUAAAAUGUCAUUUAUUCCUGUGAUGCAAAGCUGAAUUUUCAGCAUCAUUACUCCAGUCUUCAGUGUCACAUGAUCCUUCAGAAAUCAGUCUAAUAUGCUUAUUUGCUGCUCAAGAAACAUUUCUUACUGUCAGUGUUGGGCAGUAACUAGUUACUUUUGAUGCUUCAACCCCUACUGAUUUGAAAUCCAACAAUCCAGUAAUUCCUAGAUUUAUUUUCAUAAUUUUCACGACUUGAACAGGCACAUGAAGUCACCAGUGCAGCAGGUAAGCUUGGAAUAUGGAAAAGCUUACAUUCAGCCACAUCCCUCAAAUCCCAAUAUAAAUUAUAUUACUAUAAUUAAAAAUCUUUUUGGAAAAGAAAACAUUUUCUUAUGAACUUGUGAUUUCUUUUGAUAAAAUACAUCAUGAGUAUAUAGGUAACAGAGAAAUGACAGCUACAAUUAACUUCAAGCUACACAUGACAAUUAAUGAGAUUAAUGAGUAACUAUCAAUAACCAUUGAGUGUUUGUAAUAACUUCUGACUGUGAUCCAAUGUGGAUUUUGAUGUCAAAUGAUGAGGAAGAAUUAUGUUGUUAGUAAUAUUUUAGAAGAAUUUUAAUGGAAAGAUACACAAUUACAACUUCUGUGGGGCAUGAAGGAAAAGUAAUAUAGCUAGUAGUGUAACUAAUUACUGUUGCCAGAAAGUAACAAGUAAUAACAUUACUUUUGAAAGGAGUAACAAGUUUUUGAGUAAUGAGCCUUACUAUUAUUAUCAAUGUUAAAAACAGUUGUGCUGCUUAAUUUUUUUGUGUAAACUGUCAUACUUUUUUUUCAGGAUUCUUUAAUGAAUAGAACAGCAUUUUUUUAAUAGAAAUCUUUUGUAACAUCUUUACUGUCACUUUUAAUCAAUGUAAAGCAUGUUUGUUACUUCUCCCUCCCCCCCUCCCCCCCCCCCUCCUUUUUAAGGCAGCAAAAAUUUAUUUUUAGACAUUUAAUUGAAUCAUACAUUCAAUUGAAUUAAUUGCAUCAAUGAUUAAUUGAAUCAUACUUACUCUUGAAGAGCCAACUAGGGCAGUAAGUCAAAUAUUUAACCAGAGUGUCACUAACAUCAAGCGUUUUUUAAAUACUAGUUAAGAAUUUGACUUUCAAAUAUACAUUUAGAUAAUUGUAAAUUAUGUAAUGAGAAAAGACAGGCCCUCAUAACCACUUUUGAGGGUUGUCAUGGGAAAAGGAAGGGAAAAACCAAAUAAGCCAUUUUACUGAUCACACUAAAGUAUAUGUUUUUGCUUCAUAAUUCAGUUGACUUUAAAGCAAGGCUUGAGCAUGUAGGUUCAGUUAUGGGACUGCAGUUCAUAUGGGCAAGUCUGUGCUACCGUAGAAUUUCCUGACAAUAUAACACUCCUACACUUUAAUGUUUUAUUGACCCACUGCAAUCAGGCCCUUUAGACUUUCAACAAAUGUCAAGCCAGCCACCCCCUCACCUUGACCCAAAUUCCAUCACUCAAACAUUCCUCCUUUUCUUUAAAGGUUUUUAAAUCUUGUGCAACUCUUUGUGUGUACCUGUGAAGAAACCACACCUUGAUAUCAUUAAAUGAUUUUCUGCAUGGUGCCAAUAAAAAGAUCCAAACACAACAUGUCAUCUUGCUCAUUCUUUAUUACUUUAUAAAACAAAGUGAGGAUGAACAGAACUUUUUUUUUUCUCUCUCAAAAACCUGAAAAUGAACCAAAAGAAAAGAGCCUAAAUAAUUUAUGAUACAUAAUUAACAGGUGAUAUAUACAUAAAAAAAAAAUAAAAAAAAUUAAAUUGAAGAAAUAUUCUGUACAGUUGCCAUUAUGAAGGCAAUAAAAUAGCCAGGUUUGUUCCUGGUAGAGGUAGAUAAACAAAGAAACAGGAGGGAACAUACAAUAA